rnacentral:sRNA from 1 species
CAACUCUUGUAAUUUAACCCCUUCAGGUGAGCAGGCUGAUUGAUGAAUUGAAGACAGCUAUCAAAAGCAACAGAGGUCAUCUCUGUAAACUUGGCCCCCAAUUACAGGCUGAGCAGGAGCAAUUCUCCUCUUAUGUCUACCAACACAUUAAAAGCCUUCCAGCAAACAUGCUUGUCCCAGGAGGCCUGCAGCUCAAGGUAUUUGAAAAUGGUAAAAACACUGGAGAGAUCUCUGUUGGUAUCAGUAAAAAAGAUUUGGGAUCUGAUAGCCCAAUUCAAACUGACCAUAUGAUGGAAAGAUUACUUCUCAAGAUUCAUCAAAGGCUUCAAGGUUCUUCCAUCAACCCACCAGGCCUCAAUUUUUCUUCAAUGCGGCUUUUUGAUGAGAAUGGCCAAGAAAUUAAGAAUCCACUUUCGCUGAAGAAUGAGCAAAAAAUUUGGGUCUCUUAUGGUAGACCAUACAGAUCUCCACUAAAUCUUGCUUUGGGUUUGACCUUUGACCGAGUGAGUGCAUUUGCCAGAGGUGACAUCAUGGUUGCAUAUAAGACCUUUUUGGAUCCUAAUGCUGUUCUGCUACCUGGAUGUGUUGGGAAGUUUGUGAGGGAUUUCCAAUUAAUUUCAACUGUACCAGUCAACAGAUACCUGACCAGUUUGAAAAGGUGGACUUGGAGAACCAUUUUCUACAGAACAAGGUAGAUCCCAAUAUUGUCCUUCAUGCCUCUGUUUCCAUUGGAAAGUGGAGUUUCUCAGGCAGUGAAGCAAGCAGCAGGAGUCAAACAGCACCAUCGAUCCUGUGGCCUGUAGCCAGUGUGUGGCUGAUCACCAAGACUGGAAUGAUCCUGAGCCGAGCGAUAACUCAGGGCUGCCUGGCUAUUGGUCAUCCUAUCAGAGUCAAGGCUGCUGAGGGAACAUCACUAGAAGGAUAUAAAUUAAUCCUACAGAAAAGACAUAUUGGAGACGAAUCUCAGAAGUGGGUGUUUGGAACUGAUGGUUGCAUUUAUUCAAAGGCUUAUCCUCAGUUUGUUCUGACCUACCUAGAGGAGCUAAAUUCACAAGUAGAUGUGACCCAGACAGAGUAUCACAUUCACCAUGGUGCCUGGACCACAGCUCAUCAGGAACAUGGCAGAAACUUAGCAGAAGAGGUUCUACAAGAAAGUGCCAGCAACCCUGGUCUGAAGCAACUGCCAGAACCCUCAGACACCCAUUUAAUGCCAGAAGGUUCUCUUGAGGAGACAGGGCAACUGACAGUAGCACUGGUGAGGAAACUGGAAGAGAAACAUCCUAAGGCUUCUGCUCAGAGUUCACUGGAAAAAAUUAGAGGAACUCAAGUUAUUUUCUUACUCUAUGGGGGAAAAGUUGUGAAUUGAGAAAUUGUGCUUCUAAACACUUAAAGGAGUUUGAUUGGCCAAUACAAGGACUGCUUGUUCCAAGCAGUCCUCCCAUGAAGAAACCCAUCUGUAAGACAACAGAGCCAUAUGCCCCUGUGCGACUCAGAGUUUUGCGGAAUGGAGACAAUAAUAAAAACAGAUCCGUUACUAUCCUUGGUCCAGAUAUCUCACCUGGACGGAAAACGCA